GCUCUUAUCUACCUUUCCUCAAUCCCCAACACCAGAUCACCUCUUUCUUCUCCAAAUCACCCUCUUCAACAUCCUCUCAUCCUCCUUCUCACUCACCAUCCUCUAUUUCUAACCCUAAACCUACAACUAUGUCGCCUCUACAAACCAAAAGCGCUAACAAACAGCCAUUAGUUAUCGGCAAUUCUCCUUCAUUAGGAUCAUUUACAAACACUUAAAAUCCACCACCACCACAAAUCUGGAGAACCACAUCGACCCACCAGAGAUUUACGAGAGAGAAAGAGAGAAAGAUAAGAGUUGGCGGUCACCGCAGCGGCGGUCAGCAACCCCGUGGUUUAGCAAGGUGCGAUUCGGCGGUGACUUGGGAACUAGGAUUCAAUGGAUUCCGGCGAUCGGUAUGGAUUAAGGGUAACAGGGAUAAACAGGUUUGUGUCGGCAUGGGGAUCAAAGGGAGCAUCAGGGCCGAAAUCCAAAGUUCGAACUUCAGUCACGAAAGAAACUUGGUAUGUGGGACUGUGUUCUUAUGUGAUAGCACGCGGCGACAGUGUACUGGUGAAGGACGAUUGUGAAGCUGGUGGUGGACGAUACGAUGUUCGGGUUUGAGAUGGAGGUAGGGUGGGCGUAGGGGGUGGUGAUGGGUAGUAGUUUGGGUGAUGGUGCCAGAAGGAUAUUUUACUAAUUGAGGAAAAUCGUCACCUUGAUUUGCGGAUGAUCAGCGACGCUGCAUGAUUACCAGGAACAAAGGGCAACGAAAUUGAGGACCAUUGGCACGCCCACUUGAACAAGUGCAGCCCAAACAAAAUCAUGAAGUUGUUUAUGAAUGGAAAGAGGAACAAAAUAUUAACACUUAACAGGAGACAAAAUAAUUUUCAAGAAUCAUUACAGAGAAUAAUGAUUCAAGUUCAGGCCCUGCAUACAAAUCAUUACAGAGGAUCUUUGAUGAUUCAAGUUCAGGUCAAUGACUAGGACGAUUCAUCAUUGUUGAAACUGGCCUAUUAAAGUUCAGCCACCGCAAAAGGAAACAUUCGCCAUUUAAAAAUGUGAGGGGAACAUUGUGUUUUUAACAUGGAACCAACCGAUGAAAAUGUGCAGUCAGCAGUUGGGAGCAACACAUACAUUUGAUUCUAUUGUGGCUGAGUGAAUUCUGAUAACGACCAAUAAUUAGAUAAAUAGGCAUAACAUGAAAGAAUUUAGACGGGUAUAUGAGUGUGUGUAUAUGUCUAGAUGAGUGAUUAUGAGACUUUGAACACGACAUGUUUUUAUAUGGUUAACGCAUCACAUAACGUGUCGUUAGCCUUAAACAACGAAGGCAUUGCCGCCGCAACGUGCGGCGGGUACAAAUACUAAAUGUGUCACAUGGGUUGAAAGUCGCCUAACGAUUAUCAUACUUGAUACUUGAUUCAUUCAUCUAA